rnacentral:lncRNA from 1 species
CCUGCCACCCUCAAGGAAGAAGCCGUACUAAUCAAUUAUUCAAUCAAGGUAAGCCCUAGGUUUAGCUCUCUUUUUUUCUUUCUAAUUUCCCCGUUACUAUUUUAUUCUGAUUUCCAUGUCAAAAAGGUAGUGAAUUGUAUCAAAUAUCCGUGUGUACAAAUUAUAAUAUACAAAUUGGUAAUUAGGUUGAUUGAAUCUAGGUUCCCCUAAGAAUUCCAUAUGAAUAAGUUUGAGCACAUGGGAGUAAAAUGAAAUCUAUAGUAAUAUUCUGCUUUCAUGGUCUCAAUUUAUUUAACAUUAAAUAUUUGGCAUUGACAGAAAAGCUAAUGGAGAGAUGUUUAUCUGUCAAUGUUUGUAUGCUCUCUAUAUUCAAACAUGUUCCAUCUUCCUGCAGCUUGAAGGCUAGAAAUCAGGACGUACCAACAAAAAGGAAACGGCAUAGUCAAGUUAUUGUGCCUUAACUGGUUAGUUUACUUUUACUUCCGCAAUGAACUUAUCACAAUUAAUUAAUUAUGCGUGUGACCACAUUAUCUUGUAAGGAAAUGUGUGAGCUUGCUUCUAACACACUAUAUGCAUGCUUAUGUGGUUGUUUUCUUUAAUUAUUUGGCCAUUAGUUCGAUAGAUGGCUAGAAAUCAGGGACGUACCAACAAAAAGGAACAGCAUAGUCAAGUUAUUGUGCUUAACUGGUUAGUUUACUUUUACUUUCGCAAUGAACUUAUCAUAAUUAAUUAAUUAUGCCUGUGAUGACAUUGUCUUAUAAGGAAGUGUGUGAUUUUGCUUCUAACACACUAUAUGCAUGCUUGUGUGGUUGUUUUUUAAUUAUUUAGCCAUUUGUUCGAUAGAUGUUUUUGAAAAAAAAGUAUGUAUAUAUCAUUGCCCCCUCUCAUUUUUCAUCCUGGCUCCGCCCCUGCGCUCUUAGCUAACGAAUGUUCGCUGGGUGCACUGGCGGAGCGUCGGCGGGACCAAGGAGGCCCAACCCCCCUCCAUGAGAAAUAUUGCCAAGAUAAGUUUGCCUAAUGCUAAACUCUUUUGCUAAUCUUCCUGCUUCACUAAUCUCCCUAGCACUUUUGGCCCCCUCUUCAAUUUGGUUCACACCCCGCCACUGGGUGGGUGGGUGGCAUUUGCGAACCUUUCCCAUGGCAGUUUUAGUUUUAGGGGGGUUACAUUUUCACUAGCAUGUCAAUUUUUUGAAGAGAAGGCAUUUAAAAAAAAGCGUCAUCAUUUGAUGAUCCUAGGGCGUUUACUGGGAGUUUUUUUCUCGGAGAACGUUUGCCAGUUAGCGUCACCAUAGAAAUUACAAUUAACACAACAAUAUAGUUAAAAAACGACACAACUGCACCCUGAUGUUCUGGCUCAACCGGCAGAUGAGCAAAAACUGGGGUCACCAGAGGUUUGUAUCUUCACCUUACCAACAAUUCCCCAUGUUGGCGAGGGAACCGCACCGAGGUCUAAAAAACUUAAGACCCUUGGGAUUUAUACACACAAUCUGCCUAUUAAUUUCCCAUCCUUGCUUUCCAUGAACCACUUUCAUAACUUAAUCCAUAUUCGUGAGGUGGAAAACAUCCCUCGUGCACAUGUCCCCUCAGUCUGGGAUAUCCAGCGUGACACGGGGUCAAAUGCAGAGAGGAAAGACGGUUGGGGUACCAACAACUAUCAUAUUCUGCAGGCACUCCAGCACAAUAGCAUGUUGGUGCAGUCUAUGAUGAACCAGAUAUAUCAGUUGACGGAGAUGGUCGUGGAGCAUAUCAAAACUGAAGCCUGCGACAACAAGCCAUCACCACCUUCAAAGGACCAAGCAUGAGUAGGCUCCAGUAUUGUUGAGAUGUUAGAUUGUUUGGAUGUUUCAUUGCAUUUAACCGUCGGGAUAUGAAAAAUAAUGAAGUGUUAUUUUUAGUUGAUUUAUCCAUGCUACAUGACUGCUAAAUAUGAUCAAUGACAAUUUGAUUUUCCCCUUAUCUCUUAUUUAUCCCGACCAACAUGCUAUUUUUGCUUUCCCUUAUCGCUACACCGGAAGAAGAAUAGAAGAUUCUUUUCACUUGCCUGUUUGUUCUCUCCCUAUUCCAUGUUUUAUAGUAUGGCGAUUAAAGAGAAUCUUCUAUUCUUCUUUUGGUGUAGCGAUAAGAGAAAGCAAAAAUAGCAUGUUGGUCGGGAUAAAUAAGAGAUAAGGGAAAAAUCAAAUUGUCAUUGAGCAUAUUUAGCAGUCACGUAGUAUGUAUAAAUCAACUGAAAAUAACACUUUAUUAUUUUUCAUAUCCGGAUGGCUACAUGCGAUGAAACAUCCAAACAAUCUAACAUCUCAACAAUACUGGAGCCUCCUCAUGCUUGGUCCUUUGAAGGUGGUGGUGGCUUGUUGUCGCAGGCUUUAGUUUGGAUAUGCUUCACGGCCAUCUCCAUCAACUGAUUUCUGGUUCAUCAUAGACUGCACCAACAUGCUAUGGUGCUGGAGUGCCUUCAGAUUCUGAUAGUUGUUGGUACCCCAACCGUCUUUCCUCUCUGCAUUUGACCCCAUGUCACGCUGGAUAUCCCAGCCUGAGGGGCCAUGUGCACGAGGGAUGUUUUCCACCUCACGAAUAUGGAUUAAGUUAUGAAAAUGAUUCAUGGAAAGCAUGGAUGGGAAGUUAAUAGGCAGGUUGUGCGUAUGCAUCCCAAGGGUCUUAAGUUUUUUAGACCUCGGUGCGGUUCACUAGCCAACACGGAGAUUUGUUGGUAAGGUGAAGAUGCAAACCUCUGGUGACACCGGUUCUUGCUCAUCUUCCGGUUGAGCCAGAACAUUAGUUUCUUCCCGAUCUUGAUGUUGAUCCUCGCCUCCCUCGUUGUUGCCGCCGUUUGAGCCCAUAGCGCGAGAAUGGGAGACGACUUUGACGGGUGUAUGGCACACUGCCACGGCCGCCUCAUUAUCGGGUGCCGCUAACUCAAAAAAUGAAGACAUCUUGGCAACUCGUGUAGUACCAGACAGCGUCAUGGACGGUACUGGAUGCAGUGGCGGGACCUUACCCUGCUUUGGGCCAUGGUAGGUGAUGAGCUCCCCUUUUUCUCUUUCCUUUGCCCUCACAAUUUUUUUAUGUUCCUUUUUAUUCUCAGAUUGAAGUCAACGUGGCGUGAUGCGUCGUAAGAAUAAGAUGUUUGCAUGUUUUCAAAUGAUGAGUUGUUUCAGAAUUGUUAGAAUAAUUUGGGCAACUGGCCCUUGUUUUUUUCUGUUUGAAUUAGAUUUGCUUGUUCUGAAUUUUGCAGGCAUGUGGUGUGUUGUAAUUAUCUUGGUCUUGUUUGUUUGCAGAGACACCUGGCGAUGUAUCAUAAUAUGUCCUGCAAAAUAAAGGAGCGCUGAGGAUGAUGGCUUUCAUGUUGGUUUGGAUGAUGCUGGUUCGGUAGUGUGGCUUCUAAUAUGUCAGGUAAGAUCUUGGGGUAUCAUAUUCGCUGAUUCUCCACAUUGCAGGAUUCGUCCUGUGUUCCGUUAGGUGUGAUGUGUGUUGUCUGUGUGGAUAUGUUGUGGCCGCGGGCCAUGCGUGUGCUUGUGACAGCCUGCUAGGUAAUAUUUAUGGUCAUGGUGCAGUAUUCAAAAUUUGGUGCUAGAUCGUACGACAAUACUUCAUAUGAUGUGGUGCAAAUGUUAAUUGGGAAUUCAGUCGUCUUUUAUCUAAUAUAUAUUUGCAUAUAAAUGGUGCAUCAAAUAGCCUCAUAAAUCUGAAAUGAAUAUAUGUUACAGGAGCCUUACUCUUAUAUAUAGUUGUCAUGAGGUGAAUGGGGUGUGAUUAUCAUGAUCAUAUGAUAUUAUAUAGGUACAUACUAUUUUUUUGUUUAUAUCUCUAGGAUUUGUAUUCAUCGAUUCUUGUUAGUAGUCAUUUGUGACUAGAAAUGUUUUUGAAAUUUUGGGAAAUUAGACAUGAUCAUUCUGACAAUGAAUGAAUAAAAACAUAUAUUCAAUCUUAGCGAGUCCAUGGGCAAUAUAGUACCCAUUUCUUGCCUGGCACACAGUUGGAAGGAUAUUUCCAUCCUUGCCUUCCAUUCUUUGCUACAGAAGCCAUGAGUUCAGUUUUGAUUUUGAAUCUUGUCAAGUUCAGUUCAGAUUUAAUUAUACUUCCUCUGUACUAUUUUUGUUGUUAAUAUUAAAAAAAUUGUCAUGAGUUUUUGAAAUCCAUGAGUGUUUUGGGAUUGUUAAGGGUCGUCAACAAAUAUUUUAUUAUACACUUGUAUAGGAUUAUUCAACACUAACACUUGUAACAUUUUAACUCUUUAUGAUACCCAUGUGGCAAUGGGGAGAGAAACAAUGAAAUCCUUGUUGAGAGCCUACAAUUCCUAAGAAGGUGGUUUUCUGGUUACCAUGAUUUUACAUAGCAUCACUCCUUAUUACAUAGAUAGAGAUGUUAUUUAUGUGUUUUCCACCAAAAGAUUUUGAGAUUGACACUGGUCAAGUUCCACUUCGUUGCUUCUUGUGUUAUUAUGUAUACUAAGAAGUGAAAUUUAUUUUAUGCAUGUCUUACUUUUGAAAUGGAGAGCCAUUUGUUUGGCCUACAGAACAAGUGCAUGAAAUUGAGAGCCAGUUGUUUGGACUGCAACACAAGUGCAUGAUUAUGUGUUUGAAAUUCAAAGUGUAAGUGGUUAGAGGUGGAAGGAGUGAUUUGAGAGCCGGAUGCACCAUUGAAAAAUGUGUCGAUCUUGGGUCCGAGAGGUGGAGAGGCAAAGAUAAUGAGUGGAGGAAUAGAAGAAGAAGAAUGUGGUCCUGAAAGAAGAAGAUGAAGAGGAAGAGGAAGAGAGAGAGUAGUAGAGAGAAAGUGAGAGGGAUUGAGGGGUCGAUGCCGUUGAUUGCCUAAUGUUGCUGCUAAUUAUACCUGCUGAUUAUAAGGAGGUGUCAUGGCAGUUUAUAUAGGGGUUGAUUGCCUAAGGUUGUUGCUGAUUACUGAUUUUGUAUAGUAAUCGUUGAUUGCUAGAGAGAUAAAAAUGUGUGUGUGCACUGAUUGCGAUAGCUAUAUGCCACUAGAUGUGUAUGUUGCUGCUGAAAAUGUGUUGUUUUUGGUUAUUUUUGAAAGAUAAACAUAUGAAUUUGAUAACACAACUAAAAA